CAAUGCUGUCUCACCAAUAAGUUUGUUUAUACAGGAACCUUGUUGUGGAAGAUGCGUCUGUUGCUGGCCCUGUUCAUCAUAUUGCACCGUGUGAAGUCGCAGACUAUCCGACAGACGCCCGCUGCCGUCUCCCAGUUUGCGGAGCAGGGAGUGAAGCUGCAGUGUCAUGUGGAAGGAGCAAGUACCCCCAGAAUGUCCUGGUACAGACAAGCUCCUGGGAAGGGGCUGCAGCUGAUGUUUUACUCUAUUACCACCAGAGCAGUAGAUCCACAGGGGUCGGUGGACGGGUUCACCGCCAGGCGACCGAGUGAUCUUGAGUUCAUUCUGGAGACCACGAGCUUAUGGGCGAAUCAGUCGGCCGUGUAUUACUGUGCCUGGAGUAUUCACAGUGACUCAGAAAGAGGGAGCAGCUCAACAAAAACCCCAAAAGUUGCUCGAAAAACCGUGAACGCUAAAACGGACAGUGUUGCUUUCGGUUUCUCUUCCGCGCAUUAG